rnacentral:rRNA from 1 species
GGUUAAGUUAAUAAGGGCGCACGGUGGAUGCCUAGGCACUAGGAGCCGAUGAAGGACGUGACGAACGACGACAUGCUUUGGGGAGCUGUAAGUAAGCCUUGAUCCAGAGAUAUCCGAAUGGGGGAACCCAACAGGUAAUGCCUGUUAUCCAUAACUGUUAAGGUUAUGAGAAGGAAGACGCAGUGAACUGAAACAUCUCAGUAGCUGCAGGAAGAGAAAGCAAGAGCGAUUGCCUCAGUAGCGGCGAGCGAAGAGGCAGGAGGGCAAACCAGAGUGUUUACACUCUGGGGUUGUAGGACUGCGAUAAAGCAGCCAAGGGAAUAGAAGAAGACUCUGGGAAGAGUCGCCAGAGAGAGUAAGAGCCUCGUAUUUGAAAUUCACUUGAUGCCAAGCAGGAUCCUGAGUACGGCGGGACACGAGGAAUCCCGUCGGAAUCUGGGAGGCCCAUCUCCCAACCCUAAAUACUCCCUAGUGACCGAUAGUGAACCAGUACCGUGAGGGAAAGGUGAAAAGCACCCCGGAAGGGGAGUGAAAGAGAACCUGAAACCGUGUGCUUACAAGAAGUUCGAGCCCGUUAAUGGGUGAGAGCGUGCCUUUUGUAGAAUGAACCGGCGAGUUACGUUUACGUGCGAGGUUAAGUUGAAGAGACGGAGCCGUAGGGAAACCGAGUCUGAAAAGGGCGGUUAAGUACGUAGAUGUAGACCCGAAACCAAGUGACCUACCCAUGAGCAGGUUGAAGGUGCGGUAAAACGCACUGGAGGACCGAACCAGGACACGUUGAAAAGUGUUUGGAUGACUUGUGGGUAGCGGAGAAAUUCCAAACGAACUUGGAGAUAGCUGGUUCUCUCCGAAAUAGCUUUAGGGCUAGCGUCGGUCGCGAGACUCUUGGAGGUAGAGCACUGUUUGAUUGAGGGGUCCAUCCCGGAUUACCAAUCUCAGAUAAACUCCGAAUGCCAACGAGUUAAGACCGGCAGUCAGACUGCGAGUGCUAAGAUCCGUAGUCGAAAGGGAAACAGCCCAGACCACCAGCUAAGGUCCCCAAAUAAUUGUUAAGUGGAAAAGGAUGUGGGGUUGCACAGACAACUAGGAUGUUAGCUUAGAAGCAGCUAUUCAUUCAAAGAGUGCGUAAUAGCUCACUAGUCGAGUGACCCUGCGCCGAAAAUGUACCGGGGCUGAAACAAUUUACCGAAGCUGUGGAUCCCUUAGGGGAUGGUAGGAGAGCGUUCUAUGUGCGCAGAAGGUGUACCGCAAGGAGCGCUGGAGUGCAUAGAAGUGAGAAUGCCGGUAUGAGUAGCGUAAGACAGGUGAGAAUCCUGUCCACCGUAAGACUAAGGAUUCCAGGGGAAGGCUCGUCCGCCCUGGGUUAGUCGGGACCUAAGGAGAGACCGAUAGGUGUAUCCGAUGGGCAACAGGUUGAUAUUCCUGUACUAGAGUAUUGAGUGAAGGAGGGACGCAGCAGGCUAACUAGAGCGUGCGAUUGGAAGAGCACGUCCAAGCAGUGAGGUGAGGACUGAGUCAAAUGCUUAGUUCUGCGCCACCAAGCUGUGACGGGGAGCGAAGUUUAGUAGCGAAGCUAGUGAUGUCACUCUGCCAAGAAAAGCUUCUAGCGUUAAUGAAUACUCUACCCGUACCGCAAACCGACACAGGUAGUCGAGGCGAGUAGCCUCAGGUGAGCGAGCGAACUCUCGUUAAGGAACUCGGCAAAAUGGCCCCGUAACUUCGGGAGAAGGGGCGCUGGCGAUAAGUCAGCCGCAGUGAAAAGGCCCAAGCAACUGUUUAUCAAAAACACAGCUCUCUGCGAAAUCGCAAGAUGAAGUAUAGGGGGUGACGCCUGCCCGGUGCUGGAAGGUUAAGAGGAGCGCUUAGACGUUUGUCGAAGGUGUGAAUUGAAGCCCCAGUAAACGGCGGCCGUAACUAUAACGGUCCUAAGGUAGCGAAAUUCCUUGUCGGGUAAGUUCCGACCCGCACGAAAGGCGUAAUGAUUUGGGCACUGUCUCAACGAGAGACUCGGUGAAAUUUUAGUACCUGUGAAGAUGCAGGUUACCCGCGACAGGACGGAAAGACCCCAUGGAGCUUUACUGCAGUUUGAUAUUGCGUAUCUGUUACACAUGUACAGGAUAGGUAGGAGCCAAGGAAGAGUGAACGCUAGUUUACUUGGAGGCGAUGUUGGGAUACUACCCUUGUGUGAUGGCUACUCUAACCCGGUAGGUUGAUCAUCUACGGAGACAGUGUCUGACGGGCAGUUUGACUGGGGCGGUCG